rnacentral:rRNA from 1 species
CCCAGACUCCUACGGGAGGCAGCAGUGGGGGAUAUUGCACAAUGGGGGGAACCCUGAUGCAGCGACGCCGCGUGGGUGAAGAAGUAUUUCGGUAUGUAAAGCCCUAUCGGCAGGGAAGAAUUUAGACGGUACCUGGCUAAGAAGCCCCGGCUAACUACGUGCCAGCAGCCGCGGUAAUACGUAGGGGGCAAGCGUUAUCCGGAUUCACUGGGUGUAAAGGGAGCGUAGACGGCCAUGCAAGCCUGGAGUGAAAGCCCGGGGCCCAACCCCGGGACUGCUCUGGGAACUGUGCGGCUGGAGUGCGGGAGGGGCAGGCGGAAUUCCUGGUGUAGCGGUGAAAUGCGUAGAUAUCAGGAGGAACGCCGGCGGCGAAGGCGGCCUGCUGGACCGCGACUGACGUUGAGGCUCGAAAGCGUGGGGAGCAAACAGGAUUAGAUACCCGUGUAU